rnacentral:piRNA from 1 species
UAGAUUGGUGUUAGGCCUGGUGUAGAUGA